GGAAUUGUUGGAAAGAAUUUCAAAAUUGCAAAACUAUCAAGGUUCCAACGAAGCCCCAUUAUCUCAAUUGGACCAUUAGGGAGGUUAAAGUUGGCUAAAGGCUCAACUACUACCGAUCACGAGACAGUUGGUAGCUAGGUUGAGGUGUCUUCAUACAUUCGACCCUUGGUAGGUGUCUCGGCAUUCAAU